rnacentral:rRNA from 1 species
UACGUAGGGCGCAAGCGUUGUCCGGAUUUAUUGGGCGUAAAGAGCUCGUAGGCGGCUUGUCGCGUCUGCCGUGCAAUUCUCCGGCUUAACUGGGGGCUUGCGGUGGAUACGGGCAGGCUGGAGGCAGGUAGGGGAGAAUGGAAUUCCCGGUGUAGCGGUGAAAUGCGCAGAUAUCGGGAGGAACACCGGUGGCGAAGGCGGUUCUCUGGGCCUUGCCUGACGCUGAGGAGCGAAGCGUGGGGAGCGAACAGG